rnacentral:rRNA from 1 species
CCUACGGGAGGCAGCAGUGGGGAAUAUUGCACAAUGGGCGAAAGCCUGAUGCAGCGACGCCGCGUGAGGGAUGACGGCCUUCGGGUUGUAAACCUCUUUCAGCAGGGAAGAAGCGAAAGUGACGGUACCUGCAGAAGAAGCGCCGGCUAACUACGUGCCAGCAGCCGCGGUAAUACGUAGGGCGCAAGCGUUGUCCGGAAUUAUUGGGCGUAAAGAGCUCGUAGGCGGCUUGUCACGUCGGGUGUGAAAGCCCGGGGCUUAACCCCGGGUCUGCAUUCGAUACGGGCUAGCUAGAGUGUGGUAGGGGAGAUCGGAAUUCCUGGUGUAGCGGUGAAAUGCGCAGAUAUCAGGAGGAACACCGGUGGCGAAGGCGGAUCUCUGGGCCAUUACUGACGCUGAGGAGCGAAAGCGUGGGGAGCGAACAGGAUUAGAUACCCUGGUAGUCCACGCCGUAAACGGUGGGAACUAGGUGUUGGCGACAUUCCACGUCGUCGGUGCCGCAGCUAACGCAUUAAGUUCCCCGCCUGGGGAGUACGGCCGCAGGCUAAAACUCAAAUGAAUUGACGG